CACUGCGGGGCGGGGAACAGACAGACGGAGGGCCCGAGCUCCAAAACCGGCUCCCGGCCCCGGACGGACCCAGACUGGCCAGCGGGGCCUCGUGUGGACCAGGCACGCGGGUGUCUGGCCGGUGGGGACGCCAGGGACAGAGACACAGGCGGGCCUGGAGGAGGCCCGGGAGGAGUUCAAGUCCGAAGCCGGGGAUCCGGCCCCACGCGGCCUCCCCGAGAAACGUUUCCGAAACGAACUUUUCAUACAGCAGAGUUCCUGUCUACCAGCGUGAGGUGCAGUCUAAAGCCGUGUUGAAUUUUGUGACUGUAACGUUAACAAUCCAGUGGAGGAGAAGGAUUCUAGCCUUCCUAUAAAUAUAUUGAACAUGGAGAA